UACGAAGGGGGCUAGCGUUGCUCGGAAUCACUGGGCGUAAAGCGCACGUAGGCGGAUUGUUAAGUCAGGGGUGAAAGCCUGGAGCUCAACUCCAGAACUGCCUUUAAGACUGCUUCGCUUGAAUCCAGGAGAGGUGAGUGGAAUUCCGAGUGUAGAGGUGAAAUUCGUAGAUAUUCGGAAGAACACCAGUGGCGAAGGCGGCUCACUGGACUGGUAUUGACGCUGAGGUGCGAAAGCGUGGGGAGCAAACAGG
rnacentral:rRNA from 1 species